CAUUAUCGUACAACCGAGGUGCAAGGGCUGUCGCUGACCUCCAAAGGUUGUGCACGCCCGAGCGCUCUCACACAAUCCAUCUCACACCCCUUUGUGCAUCACCGCGAGGGUCCCAGUGGCUGUAACGGCCCCAAGGUGGGAAUGCGAGGCGAUGUUUUCCCCAACGGAGUCCCGUGCUCGUGCGCCGAGUUCAAGACUGUCCCCUCCAGAAAACUUUGGUGUCCAUCGUCCCUCACAGCGUAGGCUGUGGUCGGAUUUGGAGUAAUCGGCCCUUGUCUAGCCAGGGAAGCAAUUCCGCAGCUAGCAGGACUCACCGAGUUGGUCUUAGGAGAUCAGGGCACGUCAUCUGUCGCGCGGGUGCGCCGUGUCCCUCGUAGACCUUUAUACCUCGCGUUUUCACACAAACCUCUGAUACAGUGUAGAAUGUUAUUUUACCUUUUGCGGUCACACGCAAUCAAUACAACUUUCAACAACGGAUCUCUUGGCUCUCGCAUCGAUGAAGAACGCAGCGAAAUGCGAUACGUAAUGUGAAUUGCAGAAUUCAGUGAAUCAUCGAAUCUUUGAACGCACCUUGCGCCCCUUGGCAUUCCGAGGGGCACACGAGCUCCUCUCAAAUGAAUCAGUGGGGUCCGCUUUGCCGAUCCUUGACGUGAUAAGAUGCUUCUACGUUUUGGAUUUGGCACUGUCCCUUGGAUGCCUGCUUCUAACCGUCCCAUGGACAAUGAUGGUGCUCCGGUCAACCGCCGUCUACGUUGGCGGGGGGAGGCUGGACCCACAAGAAGAAAA
rnacentral:misc_RNA from 1 species